rnacentral:tRNA from 1 species
UUAAUUGAAACCAAAAAGAGGUAUAUUACUGUUAAUGAUAUCAUUGGAAGAACUCCCAAUUAAA